UAGGGAAUAUUGGGCAAUGGACGCAAGUCUGACCCAGCCAUGCCGCGUGCGGGAUGAAGGCCUUCUGGGUUGUAAACUGCUUUUAUCUAGGAAGAAAACGCCCAUGCGUGGGAAACUGACGGUACUAGGUGAAUAAGCACCGGCUAACUCCGUGCCAGCAGCCGCGGUAAUACGGAGGGUGCAAGCGUUGUCCGGAUUUAUUGGGUUUAAAGGGUGCGUAGGCGGCCCGGUAAGUCAGUGGUGAAAGCCUCCAGCUCAACUGGAGAACUGCCAUUGAUACUGCCGGGCUUGAGUACAGACGAGGUUGGCGGAAUUGAUUGUGUAGCGGUGAAAUGCAUAGAUACAAUCGAGAACUCCGAUUGCGUAGGCAGCUAACUAGGCUGUAACUGACGCUGAGGCACGAAAGCGUGGGGAGCGAACAGGAUUAGAUACCCUGGUAGUCCACGCUGUAAACGAUGAUUACUCGAUGUUGGCGAU
rnacentral:rRNA from 1 species